GACGAACGCUGGCGGCGUGCUUAACACAUGCAAGUCGAACGGUAAGGCCCUUCGGGGUACACGAGUGGCGAACGGGUGAGUAACACGUGGGUGAUCUGCCCUGCACUUCGGGAUAAGCCUGGGAAACUGGGUCUAAUACCGGAUAGGACCCUGGGAUGCAUGUCCUGGGGUGGAAAGCUUUUGCGGUGUGGGAUGGGCCCGCGGCCUAUCAGCUUGUUGGUGGGGUGAUGGCCGACCAAGGCGACGACGGGUAGCCGGCCUGAGAGGGUGACCGGCCACACGGGGACUGAGAUACGGCCCAGACUCCUACGGGAGGCAGCAGUGGGGAAUAUUGCACAAUGGGCGCAAGCCUGAUGCAGCGGCGCCGCGUGAGGGAUGACGGCCUUCGGGUUGUAAACCUCUUUCAGCACCGACGAAGCGCAAGUGACGGUAGGUGCAGAAGAAGGACCGGCCAACUACGUGCCAGCCGCCGCCGUAA
rnacentral:rRNA from 1 species